rnacentral:rRNA from 1 species
GAUGAACGCUGGCGGCGUGCCUAAUACAUGCAAGUCGAGCGAACAGACGAGGAGCUUGCUCCUCUGACGUUAGCGGCGGACGGGUGAGUAACACGUGGAUAACCUACCUAUAAGACUGGGAUAACUUCGGGAAACCGGAGCUAAUACCGGAUAAUAUAUUGAACCGCAUGGUUCAAUAGUGAAAGACGGUUUUGCUGUCGCUUAUAGAUGGAUCCGCGCCGCAUUAGCUAGUUGGUAAGGUAACGGCUUACCAAGGCGACGAUGCGUAGCCGACCUGAGAGGGUGAUCGGCCACACUGGAACUGAGACACGGUCCAGACUCCUACGGGAGGCAGCAGUAGGGAAUCUUCCGCAAUGGGCGAAAGCCUGACGGAGCAACGCCGCGUGAGUGAUGAAGGUCUUCGGAUCGUAAAACUCUGUUAUUAGGGAAGAACAAAUGUGUAAGUAACUAUGCACGUCUUGACGGUACCUAAUCAGAAAGCCACAGCUAACUACGUG